GAUGAACGCUGGCGGCGUGCCUAAUACAUGCAAGUCGAGCGAACACAUGCGGAGCUUGCUCCUCUGACGUUAGCGGCGGACGGGUGAGUAACACGUGGAUAACCUACCUAUAAGACUGGGAUAACUUCGGGAAACCGGAGCUAAUACCGCAUAAUAUAUUGAACCGCAUGGUUCGAUAGUGAAAGACGGUUUUGCUGUCACUUAUAGAUGGAUCCGCGCCGCAUUAGCUAGUUGGUAAGGUAGCGGCUUACCAAGGCAGCGAUGCGUAGCCGACCUGAGAGGGUGAUCGGCCACACUGGAACUGAGACACGGUCCAGACUCCUACGGGAGGCAGCAGUAGGGAAUCUUCCGCAAUGGGCGCAAGCCUGACGGAGCAACGCCGCGUGAGUGAUGAAGGUCUUCGGAUCGUAAAACUCUGUUAUUAGGGAAGAACAAAUGUGUAAGUAACUAUGCACGUCUUGACGGUACCUAAUCAGAAAGCCACGGCUAACUACGUG
rnacentral:rRNA from 1 species